UACAGAGGGGGCUAGCGUUAUUCGGAAUUAUUGGGCGUAAAGGGCGCGUAGGCGGCCGCCUAAGUCAGACGUGAAAUCCCUCGGCUCAACCGGGGAACUGCGUCUGAUACUGGGUGGCUUGAAUCCGGGAGAGGGAUGCGGAAUUCCAGGUGUAGCGGUGAAAUGCGUAGAUAUCGGGAGGAACACCUGUGGCGAAGGCGGCCGCCUGGUUGGAUACUGACGCUGAGACGCGAAAGCGUGGGGAGCAAACAGG
rnacentral:rRNA from 1 species